rnacentral:rRNA from 1 species
CCGGUCAUAAACCGGAGGAAGUGGGGAUGACGUCAAGUCAGCAUGGCCUUUAUAUCCUGGGCUACACACACGCUACAAUGGGAAGGGACAAUAGGUUAGCGAAGCCGCGAGGUGGAGCCAAUCCAGCAAAACUUACCCUCAGUUCAGAUUGCAGGCUGCAACUCGCCUGCAUGAAGUUGGAGUUGCUAGUAAACGCAGGUCAGCCAUACUGCGUUGAAUACGUUCCCGGGGCUU